AUACGUAGGUGGCGAGCGUUGUCCGGAAUUACUGGGUGUAAAGGGCGUGUAGGCGGGGAAGCAAGUCAGAUGUGAAAUUCCGGGGCUCAACCUCGGCGUUGCAUCUGAAACUGUUUUUCUUGAGUGCUGGAGAGGAAAGCGGAAUUCCUAGUGUAGCGGUGAAAUGCGUAGAUAUUAGGAGGAACACCAGUGGCGAAGGCGGCUUUCUGGACAGUAACUGACGCUGAGGCGCGAAAGCGUGGGGAGCAAACAGGAUUAGAUACCCUGGUAGUCCACGCCGUAAACGAUGGAUACUAGGUGUAGGAGGUAUCGACCCCUUCUGUGCCGGAGUUAACACAAUAAGUAUCCCACCUGGGGAGUACGGCCGCAAGGUUGAA
rnacentral:rRNA from 1 species